rnacentral:tRNA from 1 species
GGUGGGGUGCCGGAGCGGUCAAUCGGAGCAGACUGUAAAUCUGCCGGCCACGCGCCUACGAAGGUUCGAAUCCUUCCCCCACCA